rnacentral:rRNA from 1 species
UACGUAGGGGGCGAGCGUUGUCCGGAUUUAUUGGGCGUAAAGAGCUCGUAGGCGGCUUGGCAAGUCGGGUGUGAAACCUCCAGGCUCAACCUGGAGACGCCACUCGAUACUGCCAUGACUAGAGUCCGGUAGGGGACCACGGAAUUCCUGGUGUAGCGGCGAAAUGCGCAGAUAUCAGGAGGAACACCGGUGGCGAAGGCGGUGGUCUGGGCCGGCACUGACGCUGAGGAGCGAAAGCGUGGGUAGCAAACAGG